AUAAAUAUCUUAAUUUGAGAGAAGUUGUUUGUUCUCACUGACCAAAUCAAAGAACGCGCAACAGAUAUUAGUGUAGAAAGUAUCUUUAUUACCUGUGCAUUUCUAUAGUUUUCUUCAACAUUAGUUCCCUCUUAUAUAGAAAAACAGUCUGACACAUUUCUACUCAUUUGUUUAUGACACCAGCAAGAAGCAGCUUGAAGUUGGAGACAUUUCUGCAGGAUAAUUACUGAGUCCUGAACAAGACCAGGAGAAACUGGACCAUUUGAGGCAAGAACCAAACCUCAAUGCAGAACAUGCAAUCCACACGUUUCCAGCCAAAAACCAUGAGCUCAGAGAUCUGACUUCAGUUUCAGCAAUGGAAGCAUGUUUAAAAUGAAAAGAAUCGGUCCAAGCACAGAACCCUGAGGAGCUCCACGACUUACUCUCCUGUGGGAGGAAAUCACAUAUACAAGGACUGUGACACCAUUUAAGUGUCAGUUCUGUUGUUCAUUAUCAGUUUAUGUUGACCUUUAUAUGCUGAACCUGCUUCACAGUAGAGGUUGCGGAUCUUCACCUGACUUUGAAGCUUUUUGGAUAUUUUUAUUCUCCUCAGGGUUUCAUCUACCCACCAUACCAUCACUAUGUCUGUUAACUCCUUCAACUCCUCUCUGGAUUUGGUUUACUCUCUCUGUUUAAACUUCACAGUUAGUGAUUCAAUCAUCAUUGCUCUCUUUGCCACCAGACUCAUCGUCCUGAUCCCCAUUUACAUCUUUGUCCUCCACCUGGGCAUCCAACAAUGGAGGCAGCGUCAUUCCUUCAAAACAGCGAGCCACUCGGACAUCUUUACUUACAACCUGGCUGUCAUGGAGCUGAUAUUGAGUUUGGGGACAGUUUUAUUUUAUUGGGGAGUCUUUACAGGUUUCAUACAUAGACUAACAAUAGCCUAUUUUCUCAUCUCCAUGAUUUUCUUUGGAGAGACCAGCUUUCAUGUCUUAACCUGUGUGGAUCGCUACCUAGCGGUUGUUCAUCCAGUAACAUAUCGAGAGCUACGAAACACCCGUGGAGUCACCAUCAGAAACAUCGGCAUAUUUUGUGUCUGGGUGUUGUCUUUACUGUUGUCUGGUAUUUCAAGUUGUGGUGCCUCUACUUUAGCCAUUAUCCUAUUUUUCACUGUUUUUACCACCACCUUGGUUGUUGUCUCUUUCUGCAGCCUUUCUGUUCUCUUUGCACUCAUUCGUCCAGGUCCGGGGGCAGGAGGCGGGAACAGGGACCAUAUUGACCAAUCAAAACAGAGGGCGUUCUUUACUGUUAUGGUCAUAGUGGGGGUCCUGGUCAUGUUUUUCUUGGGGUUCCUUGUUUCUACUGUAGUGGUGUUGUCUGGAGUGUUUUGUAAAAAUGUCAGUAUUAUGGUGCAGUCUGCUAUGAUGUGGCUUACUCUGCCCAGCAGUUUGGUUUCACCACUACUUUACCUGCACAAAACAGGAAAACUACCAUGUGGACACCAGGGUGGUAGGUCAACAGAAUAAGUGGAGAUUUUAUGGAAGUUUGAGAAACCAGGUCAUACAAGAUUUAAUCCUCUGUUAUUGCAGAGUGCUGUAUGAAAUGUGGUUCAUAUAUUAAACAUAGAUGCAGUACAGCUGUUUUGCAGUUUUCCCAAUGAUGCGCCCCCUAUCAUUUGCUAAUUCAGCAUCCAUCUUGCAUCCUACCUGUACUGGGAGCUCUUCAGCCCUUGAAAGAAUGUCUUAUCUUGGUCUGACCCCUUUUUUUCUUCUUCCUCUUAUAAUAUUGUCUUCUUGCGUUUCUUUGCUGAAUCAGCUACGGUGGGUGUUCGAAACAGUGGGUGUGUUUUUAGCUGUUUGCUAGUAAUAAUAAUAAUAAUAAUAAUAAUAAUGGAUUAGAUUUUGUUGCAAAUAUUUUAUAAGUGUUCUUAUUCAUUUAAUCAUUUAACAUUCAUUUACUCAGUUAAGUAGCAUUAAUCAUUUACUUAUUUAGUUUAUCCUUAGAUUUUAGUAACAUGCAUUAGGCUCUGCUUUUAAAUAAUAGAACUAUAGAUUUAUUGUUCUCAUUGCUUCACAGCUUACAGAUGCAUUCACAUAAACAGGAGACAGGGUUACUGAGUUUAAGGGUGAGAAAGCAGGCAAAGAGACCUUGAAAAGGUUCUGGAUGCCCAGUAGGGAGUAGUUGCAAAAAAUUGUUGUAUCUCCUUACUUAUCUAAGUUUCACUCCAAGCUGAACAGAAUGCACAGUAACUCAGAAAAAUUAUUAAAUAUCCUUUGUCUGAAUACUGGGGGAGCAGGUGUAAGGGCGUCAGCUCAGGGAGGCACAUAGAUAAGAAGCAGAGCAGAGUAUCUUCUUCCAUUUCAGCUCUGACGUACCCUAGAAGGAGGACCUGGCGGAAUCACGUUCCCGGAAGAAGGAGUGGACAACUUGUAAAAUACACAUUCACAUGAAUGCGCACCACAUGCAUGCACAUAGCCACAAUGCAUUGUAUCACUAUAAAUGAGGAGGAUAACUUAGGUAGGCGGGUCUUUUUGGCUGAACCAAAGGUUCCCGAUACUUCAUGUAUUAGUGGACCAGAAGCUAAAGCUAACGGGCCUCCUUCUCGAGAAGAUAUGUAUUGUUUUCUUAUUACUGGCUUAACAAAGAAUUGUCAAUUCUACUCAGUCUCUGGUGUUUUUGCCUUCUUUUAAAAAUGUGGAUUUUUGAACACUCUUUCUUCUGAUGAUUUAUUUACAGGUGAUGAACAAAUAUUAUAAUACCAAAGAAUUAAAAAAAAACUUCAAUUGGUGACCCCGGACGUGAUCCACUAAGAAUGGCAACAGAGAGUAUCCAGAGCAGGAUUCGGGUUGUCUGAGUCUGGGCCCACUUCAACAAAGGUAAGCAGUAACCUAUUGUACUUAAUGUACUGAAUACUGCAGAUUGAUUUUAACCAAAUUUAUCAGACAUCCUGAUCCCUCACUCUGGUGAGUAAAAAGCCAGUCUCUAGGAAAGCAAUUCAUUUAAGAAAAAAGGGUAUUUCAGU